GCUGGAGUAGCUCAGGGGUAGAGCAGCUGAUUUGUAAUCAGCCGGUCGGGGGUUCAAAUCCCUUCUCCAGCU
rnacentral:tRNA from 2 species